rnacentral:rRNA from 1 species
AUACCGUGAAACUGCGAAUGGCUCAUUAAAUCAGUUAUCGUUUAUUUGAUAGUACCUUACUACUUGGAUAACCGUGGUAAUUCUAGAGCUAAUACAUGCUGAAAACCCCAACUUCGGGAGGGGUGUAUUUAUUAGAUAAAAAACCAACGCCCNUUCGGGGCUUCUUGGUGAUUCAUGAUAACUUUACGGAUCGCAUGGCCUUGCGCCGGCGACGGUUCAUUCAAAUUUCUGCCCUAUCAACUUUCGAUGGUAAGGUAUUGGCUUACCAUGGUUUCAACGGGUAACGGGGAAUUAGGGUUCGAUUCCGGAGAGGGAGCCUGAGAAACGGCUACCACAUCCAAGGAAGGCAGCAGGCGCGCAAAUUACCCAAUCCCGACACGGGGAGGUAGUGACAAUAAAUACUGAUACAGGGCUCUUUUGGGUCUUGUAAUUGGAAUGAGUACAAUUUAAACCUCUUAACGAGGAACAAUUGGAGGGCAAGUCUGGUGCCAGCAGCCGCGGUAAUUCCAGCUCCAAUAGCGUAUAUUAAAGUUGUUGCAGUUAAAAAGCUCGUAGUUGAACCUUGGGUCUGGCUGGCAGGUCCGCCUCACCGCGUGUACUUGUCCGGCCGGGCCUUCCUUCUGGAGAACCUCAUGCCCUUCACUGGGCGUGUUGGGGACCAGGACUUUUACUUUGAAAAAAUUAGAGUGUUCAAAGCAGGCCUUUGCUCGAAUACGUUAGCAUGGAAUAAUAGAAUAGGACGUGCGGUCCUAUUUUGUUGGUUUCUAGGACCGCCGUAAUGAUUAAUAGGGACAGUCGGGGGCAUCAGUAUUCAAUUGUCAGAGGUGAAAUUCUUGGAUUUAUUGAAGACUAACUACUGCGAAAGCAUUUGCCAAGGAUGUUUUCAUUAAUCAGUGAACGAAAGUUAGGGGAUCGAAGACGAUCAGAUACCGUCGUAGUCUUAACCGUAAACUAUGCCGACUAGGGAUCGGGCGAUGUUCUUUUUCUGACUCGCUCGGCACCUUACGAGAAAUCAAAGUUUUUGGGU